rnacentral:rRNA from 1 species
GACGAACGCUGGCGGCGUGCCUAAUACAUGCAAGUAGAACGCUGAAGAGAGGAGCUUACUCUUCUUGGAUGAGUUGCGAACGGGUGAGUAACGCGUAGGUAACCUGCCUUGUAGCGGGGGAUAACUAUUGGAAACGAUAGCUAAUACCGCAUAACAAUGGAUGACACAUGUCAUUUAUUUGAAAGGGGCAAUUGCUCCACUACAAGAUGGACCUGCGUUGUAUUAGCUAGUAGGUGAGGUAAUGGCUCACCUAGGCGACGAUACAUAGCCGACCUGAGAGGGUGAUCAGCCACACUGGGAGUGAGACACGGCCCAGACGCCUACGGGAGGCAGCAGUAGGGAAUCUUCGGGAAUGGGUGCAACCCAGACCGAGCAACGCCGCGUGAGUGAAGAAGGUUGUCGGAUCGUAAAGCUCGGUUGUAAGUCAAGAACGGGUGUGAGAGUGGAAAGUUCACACUGUGACGGUAGCUUACCAGAAAGGAACGGCUAACUACGUG